CGCAUCUGUGCAUGCAGCAUAUCAAUAAGCGGAGGAAAAGAAACUAACGAGGAUUCCCCUAGUAACGGCGAGUGAAGCGGGAGGAACUCAAAUUUGAAAUCUUAAAGGGUUUCCCUUUACGAAUUGUAGUUUAAAGAAGUGUUUUCUGUUGAGGUUUUGGUAAAAGUUCUUUGGAAUAGGACAUCAUAGAGGGUGAGAAUCCCGUAUUUGACCUUUACUUUCAACUUUGUGAUACACUUUCAAAGAGUCGGAUUGUUUGGGAAUGCAGUCCAAAAUGGGUGGUAAAUUUCAUCUAAAGCUAAAUAUUGGCGAGAGACCGAUAGCGAACAAGUACCGUGAGGGAAAGAUGAAAAGAACUUUGGAAAGAGAGUUAAACAGUACGUGAAAUUGUCAAAAGGGAAGCGUUUGACACCAGUGUUGUUUUUCUGAAAAUCAAUUAAAGAACUGUUUAUGCUAAGCUGUUUAGACUUUAUCAGCUAUCUGUUUAGUUUUGAGCUUUUCUUUAAUGCACUUUUCAGUUAACAAGUCAACAUCAAUUUCUUUUGCUGUAAAAAAGCUUGAGGAAGGUGGCUUGAGAUUCGUCUUAAGUGUUUAUAGCCUCUUGCCUAUGCAGUCGGAGAGAUUGAGGUCUGCAGCGUAGAUCCUUCGGGGCUAAAUGCAUUUGUGCUAAGUUAUAGCAUUUUAUAGACAACUUGUUGACUAUGAUUUGUCUUGUAGCUUACUCGCUUAUGUUAUUUUACCUACGCUUAGGAUGUUGAAUCUGUGCGAGACUAC
rnacentral:rRNA from 1 species